AACAGCGAAGAAAUCGAGGGGCGUCGAUAAAGGGUUCGGGUUGAAUCCCCAGGAUAAGCGACAGCAAGUGCAAAAUGGUGUGCAAAGGUCUGAUGCAUCCCCUCAAGCAACAAAAGGAGCUUCUUCUUGCCCACACAACAAAACAAAAACCGUUCGCUAUAUUAUUUCGCUGUCAGUCACAGGCCCCUUGCCUUCAAAGGAGAAGCAGAUAGCGCGCGCAUGUUAAAGUAAACAGACUUAGAAUCAUCCACUUGUCAAGCCUCGUGAUGGACAGACGGACGACUAGCCCGAUGGCGCGUCCACAGCCGGAGAGGAGUCGACGCUUUUCUGGGCCUCCAAAGCUGCAAGCCGCUUGUCGAGAGCCUUGUAACGGGCGUCCACGUGGUCAUGCAGACCUUUCACCUGGAAAAGUUGUGAUUUAGAGAUCAGAUGCUUAUCCUCAACCCAACCAGUAUCAUGCAGGUGUAUAGUGGAAAUGCAGAGGGAGCAUGGUUAACAAACACCACAUGUAUAGAAACCUCAAUCUUGAAGCUCAGACCAAUGAUUGCGCUGCUUAAAAGCCCAUGACAUGUGAAAGACAACUUCACUUAUGAAAAACAUCCACAGGUAAGCUUUACCUCAGAGGAAGAAAUAUAUCCUCAACUAAGGUUAGUACCAACCGCUCAAAAUCAGCAUAAGACGCCCAUCCCCACAUUUCAAGCAACUUCUUAUGGGAUAACUAUACGAGCAUUUGUCUUAAUCGCAUCUACCUGGACAAAUUUCAGCCUUUCAUCUAUGAAAUUCUGCCCAUUUACAUGAACUACUGAACAAUCCCACCAGUGCAUACCGAAUGACCAUGGUAAAUCAGACAUGAUGAAUCAUCCUAGUGUUCUUCUCAUAUUUCAUUGUCAGGAUAUCUAUUGUUCCAUCAUUCUGAUGAAGUUACCCCAACUUCAUACUGGAAGGUACUCAAAACCACCAACAUUCUUGUUGAUGAGACGAACAUGUCAGCUUCAAACGUUAUGAUACAGGUAAUGUCCAAAAAUAUUAUAGUCUAUAAUUAAGUUUAUCAUGGAAAAAAUCAUCUAUGCCUUUGCAUAUAUAUGUUGGAACUUGGAAGAUUGGUUCUGCCAAUGAAACUGAAAUGUUCCUGAGAUAUGCUGCAUCAAUGGAUGCCAGUGCUCAAGUCAUUUGCAGAUAACUAAGUUAAGUUCAACUAUGACCAUGGCAUGCUGUUAACACAAAAUGCAUCUUCAAAUGCAAGAUGACUUGCAAUCUACAUUGUCAGGGCCUUAUCAUCUGGUAAUGUGCAAGGCGCUACAGACAUAUUCAUCCAUCCAUAAUCCAGAAGGUCAAGUUGCAGAAAACUAGUCAUGUGCAUUUAGAUGACACAAGAAACAAUCACUGGGGAACCUCAGAACUAGAACAGAAGAUACUUACUCUAUCCCAGGCAAUCCCACAAACCAACUGCUUUUUUGAACAAAAUACAACAACCAUGCAACGAUGCAACAUGGCACCUCAGAUCUUAUGCAAAACAACACUAUGCCUCAGAUCAUCCCUAAGAUCGUAUAAGCUACUGAACUACCCAAUAGAACAAUAACCUGAGAAGCCAAGAUAACUAUACUACAUCGCAGGAAGUGGUACUGGAACUGUCGGCCAAGGAGGUGAAAAUCAAAAUGGCAUUGCUGGUUACCGAUUACAGGCUGUAACCAAACUAAAAGUAGUGGCCUGAUAAGGUCCAUAGAAGCAUUAACAUGCAUCACCACCACAGGCACCCCCAAAUAAUCAGCAAACAAUACUUUACUGGGGCAUAAUAAUUCAGGCCUGACGGCUAUCAGUACCUAUCACUGGAUAGGCUCUCCUGGUGUGUGUCCAAGUAGGGUGCUGGCAAACAGUUUCAGGGCCGGCCAAUGAUGCUAAUAGGAACAUGAUUAGGAAAUCACAAGUGCGAUUCAUAUAUAGGGUUUAGAACCAAACGCCGUCUCGGGGAGGAAGGGGGUUUCCCUGAUCCCCAUUCUUCUUCCUAGACAGGCGCGGUUGGGAUCCACGGAGUAGUGGCACAGAGUCCGAGAUCUGAGACGCAGAGGCAGAGGGGAGGAGGAGGGCGCGGCCCGUACCUGGAGGGCCGUGGAGUCGUGGGCGAGCUUGUAGUCCUUGUAGAGGAAGUAGCCGCCGCCCGCCGCCGCGGCGGCCGCGCCCGCGAAGAAGGAGGCCAGCCUCACCCGCAGCAUGAACCCCAUCCUCCUCCGCCUCGCCGCCUCUUGCUUGCGCUCCUUGGUUCCCCUUCCUUCCUUCCGCCGCUCUCUGCUUGCGCCGACUGCGACGGACGGACGAUUCGGGGCUCGCGUCAGACGGCUCGACCUAGGCCUGACACCGGGUCCCGCAUCUCAGUUGGGCUCGACAUUUCUGGGCCAGGCUAGCCGCGAAGAGAAAGAAUGGAAACCUGGGCCGGACCGACUCGUUCACCAGAAUAGCCCAAACGGAGGACGGAUGAGAAAAUUUCCAAAAAAAUAUCCCCGGGAGGAGAUAGAGCUGGAGCAGCACAGCCGCUGACCGCCACGCCGCUCGCUCGCUCCCCGCGAGCUCGCCAUGCCGCCGGCAUCCCUUCUGUCCCUCCUCCCCGCCGCGUCGGUCUCCCCGCGGACCCGCCCAGCCAGGCACGGAUCCCCUGCCGCGAGCCACCGCCUCCAUUCCCGCAUCCCCGUCCUCCUCAGCGCGCGAGCUCCCCCGCCACUCCGCUCCUUACCCGCCUCCUCCGAUGUGGUCGAGGCCGGGGGUGGUGGAGGGGGAGGCGAGGAGCUCCACCUCCUCGACAAGCCCUUCCCGUCCCCCUCCGCGUCCGAGGAGGACGAGCCCGAGCCGGAGGCCGCCCCGGCGCCGUCCACGGCGGAAGCGCUCGCGCCCUACCUCAACUUCUUCCAGGUGAAGGGCGCCGACGCCAGCGAGGGCACGCCCGAAGCCGCCGCCCCCGGGAAGCACGCCUCGGAGGACGGAGCCGUAUCGGCCGGGCGCGGGGUCAUCUACUACGACCCCAGGCCCGGGGACCUGGUCGUGGGCGUCGUCGUCGGGGGCGACGCGCGGGCGCUCGACAUCGACGUCGGCGCCGGCGGCGAGCCGGCGCUGAUGCUGACCAAGGAGGCGGCGCCUGCGUCCCCGGAGGAGUUCGGUUACCUGGCGUGCGACCUCGCGUCGGGCGGCGCGAGGGAGUUCGCCGCGGAAGGCAGGGUCGGCGUCGCGGCCGGCGGAGGGGGCGCGAGGGUUGGGAGGACCGGGAAGGAGAAAUGCGCGCCGGUGGUGGGCGUUGGCACGGUGGUGUUCGCCGAGGUCCUCGGCCGAACACUUGGCGGGCGGCCGCUGCUGUCUUCGCGAAGGCUGUUCCGGCGCGUCGCGUGGCACAGAGUGAGGCAGGUCCUCUAUGACUCUCCUCUCUAUUGUUGUUGUUGUUGGAAUUUGAUGAACUGAUCUAGUAUUAGCCAUGACUUGAUCGUUCAAUGUAUGUUUUGAGUGUGCACUGUCAGUAGUUCAGAACCAGAUACAGAUAGAGUUUGUUUGAAAACAAUGUAGUACCAGAUAAGUACUUCAAACACCACUAGUAAUGUAGUGUGUAUGAUUAGUAUCAGGAAUAGAUCUGCAACCCCCGAGUCACGACCGCCGUCUUGCUUGUACCAAGUAGAUUUUUCAUAUACUGGCUGGCCUAUCUAAAAGCUCGAGCUAUUAAAGCAGUGUGAUGUAUAUCUUGCUUGUAGGUUAAUAGGCAAUUACGUACGUACGUACUAUCAUAGCUUGCUCCUAGGUUGAUACACAAUUUUGUCUUCAAGGUUCUUAGCAUGGCAUGAGUCAAAAUCAUUUGGCAUUGCAGCCCAAAAUAGAGCAUCUCAUGUUUUUGUUAAGAACGUAGAGUGAUUUCAUGCUUAAGUACAUGGAGAAAUGAUUGGUAUUAUGAUCAUGAGACCUUGUAAUCUUCCAACUAAUAACAAGUACAUGCAUCAAAAUUGAUGUUUCACAUCUUGGGUGCAGAGCAGUGCAAUGGAAAAAAUUGUAGGAUGGAAAGCCCUUGUUUUCGUCAUGUUUUUUCGAUGACAAUGGAUGAUUGGACAUGACUGUGACCUAUGAAGUUUUGAGUUCGAUAGCUAUUAUUUUUAUUCUGAAUGUUUUAUAUAUGACAAUUUCUGUACAUACUGGUGUCCAGAUAAAGCAGCUAAAUGUACCUAUCAAGGUUAAAAUUUCUGAGUGGAAUGCUGGAGGCUUGUUGUCAAGAAUUGAGGUGCGGGUUACUCAUAACGAGUUCAAUGGAUUACAUUACAGUCCACUUCUCAAAAAUUGUAGCUAAAACUCACAUCCAUGAUUCCAUCAUUUAGGGGCUCCGGGCGUUCCUACCUAAGCCUCAGAUGAUGACUAGACCAAGAAAUUUUACAGAUCUAAAGAACAAUGUAAGACGCAUGAUCCCUUUUAUCUAGUUUUGUCAAGUUAUUGUCAAUAAAGUGGCUGUAACUUGUGAAUUAUAUUGUUUCUUCUGCACAGGUUGGUCGACAGAUACAUGUCUGUAUUACAAAGAUUGACGAAAGGACUAACGAAUUAAUAAUUAGUGAAAAAGAGGCUUGGGUAAGUUAACUGCAUGUUUACAUGGGCCUCUGUUCAGUCUGUUGUCCUUACCUGCAGCAUUCACUAACAUAUUACUCCCUCCAUUCCUAAAUAUUUGUCUUUUUAGAGAUUUCAAAUGGACUACCACAUACGGAUGUAUAUAGACAUAUUUUAGAGUGUAGAUUCACUCAUUUUGCUCCGUAUGUAGUCACUUGUUGAAAUCUCUAGAAAGACAAAUAUUUAGGAACGGAGGGAUUAUUUACCAGGAUAUAAUGUGUUUUUACUGUGGCUCUUCAUAGUAGAGAAUCUUGGUCCAUCAACUUAUUGAAUUGCCUAAAGACACAAUGCAAGAAAUGUUUAUUUAAAUAGCUUUCGCUACAGUCGACAACUCGUGAUUAAUACACUUGAAGUAUUUAUAUCAAUUGAAUUCUGCAGCGCAUUGGUCAGAUUUUGACUUGUAUGAGAGAGCAAUGAGUACCCUUGAGUUCUUCUGAUUAAUUUUGAUCUUCGGUACUUCUUUUAGGCAAUGUUAUACCUUAAAGAAGGGGCUCUCUUGGAAGGGACAGUCCGCAAGUUGUUCCCAUAUGGUGCACAAAUUAGGAUUGGGGAGACUAACAGAAGGUAAUAUCACUAAAUUGAACUAAAACCACAACACUUAUUUUGGAACAGAGGGAAUGCAUACUAAAUAUGGCAUUUCUUCUUUUCUGCUAUAGUUCAUUUUACACUUGAAAGUUGAAGGAGCAUUCCUUCCAGUUCCGUCAUUUCAUUAGUAGCUGCUGAUAAGUUUCUUUUUGGUCAUACUCUUAUAGUCAUGCAUAUGUUUUAGUAUGGCUUACUCCUAUUUUAUGACAAACAAAAAUAGGUUUACCAAAUAAUUUAGAAGGUGGCUGUUGCCACAAUAUGUUUUAAAUCUUGGCAACAUUGAUGAUGCUAAGUCUUGACUAGAUUAUAUAAAUAUAAUUGUCAAUCUUGCUCCUUUUGACAUUCUUAACUGGAUUACGUGAACAAAAGAGUGAUUGUUAAUUUUAGUGGAACAUGAGAUUUACUGACUAGCCUUCACACUGAUGAGUUCCAUUGGAAAUUCUGAUAAUUCGCCAGAUAAUGAGGUCUCUCUUCUUUUAUCAAUCUCCUGGCUUAGAAUAUGAGAGAUUGCUCUGUGCUCUAGCGAAGGGCUUGUCUUGUUCCUUUGGAAUAUGUACUUCCAAGUAUUUACAUGUCAUGCUUCACUUUCAUUUAUAACAGAUCAUAUAACUUCAAGCAUUUGAGUAUGCAUCUUCCCUUUCAAAAGGCACUCCCUCUGUUCCAAGAUGGUCUACUCCCUCUGAUCCAUAUCAAUUGUCGCUGCUUUAGUACAACUUUGUACUACUAAAGCAGUAACGAUUAAUAUGGAUCGGAGGGAGUAACUUUUUUCUGAAUCAGAUGUAUAUAGACGAUUUUUAAUGUGUUUGUUCACUCGUUUCAGUCCAUAUGUGGUCCAUAUUGAAAUAUCUAAAACAUCUUAUAAUUCGGAACGUUGCUAUAGUAUUAUCCAUCUUGUAUUGUUUCAUGCCCGAAUUCAGUUUGGACCCCAUCCAGUCUCAUUGAACCAUAGGCAUCAUUCUAUCCACAUGGCAAGCUUGUGAACAAUCUAGAGGUGGGAACAUUUUCGGAUGUUUAAUUUACAGCUUGUGAUGCUUCUGCAGUGGUUUGCUGCAUAGCUCAAAGAUAACACACGGUCAGCUGAGAUCCGUCGGUGACGCGCUCAGAGUGGGCGAGAGAGUGAAAGCGCUUGUGAUCAAGUCGACAACGCCAGACAGAAUUGCUCUUAGGUACGUGAAAGAAACUCGUAAAAACUUAAAAAACCAUGCAUGUGCAGCACUGAGAGCUCACGUGUCUCGGCUCUGUGCAGUAUUAGGGACCUUGAGAGCGAGCCUGGACUGUUUCUCUCCGACAAACAGGUAAGAACACUGCCUCUUUGGCUCUUCAGUUUUACAUGCUAUAUGUGUCAAGUUGCCAAUGCUCAAGGUAGUCACAUUUUGCAUUGCCUCUGGUUUCUGCAGAAGGUGUUCGCCGAGGCGGAGGAGAUGGCGCGAAGAUACCGGGAGCAAAUGCCGGCGACGCCUCGGUCUGGCGAGGCGCCCGAUGACGGCGACGACGAUACCGUCCCGUUCGAGGACGAAGCGGGGUCGUACGCCAACUGGAAGUGGCUGAAGUUCAUCAAGUCCGACAGAGUAGACUGUAACCCCAGUGUCACCGGACCAUCGGUAUUGUAACGCAGGAAUGCUGACUACCUCUGCACAAAUUUUGUUCGGUCAGCCGCACGGUUUCCAUGAGUGCAUCACAAGAUGAAGCUCAAAGGUGUCGGUGAGCGGCACGCGGCACCCUGAAUCCCUGAUCGAUCUCACGAACACAUCACAAGUCGCUGUUGGCAGUGCCUUGCUUGCUCUAUCUGACGCGCACUGCUCAUCUUCUCGUCGCCGUAUGUUCCAAGCCUGGUCAUCGUCGUGUCUAUUCAUCGCAACAGUGAACGAGAACGUCGCACAGUGGCCGACUGACAACCCCUGGAAUAAUCAUCUGCCGGUGCGUGCAACAACCCAAAGCCGACCCAUCGUGUCAACAGACGAUCGAUCUGGAUCGGAGCGGCCCUUUGCUCGCCUCCGGAUGAGAGCGACGGCUCGGCCCCGUGGGAACACCGGACGACAGGUUUCGAGGUAAUUAGCCACUUCAUUAGCGUGCUAAUCCUGUCGUUGGCGGACAUGGUUUGGUCGUUACGGACUAGUUUAUGCAUCGGUGAUCGGAUGGAUAUAAACUGUCGCGAGGGGAUGUGAUGUCGUCGUCGGGGAAUUCUUUGGGGCCCGGACAGCCGCUACGUCGAGAUAAACAAGCAUGCAGCCGCGAAUUGUUUUAUGGUGAUGAGUGAUUCAGUGGCUGAGGCUUCGUAAGAGACGAAAGCGAGAUCCUAACUCGAUCUUGUUGAGCCUAUCUAUUCUAUCAUCGCCGGCCACUGAGAUUCCUCAGAUGUCACGUCGCAGAGACUUCGGUUCGGUUCAGUUCAGUUCAGGCUUCUCAGCAAAGCUCUAGCUGUAUACCUGCUCCCUGUCCCUGAGAGUACAAAUUAAUUUAUGGGGAAAAUGCCAAAGGCGUGCUCCCUGUCCCUGAGAUAGUGAGAUAUACUACCACCGACUUUCAUUGAUCAUGCUAUGGACGAUUAUAAAAGUGUAUUAAGUCGGGAGCCGUGGGCGGGGAAAUUACUAGAAUCGCAAUCGUCUUCACUUUUGCGCCCUCACGUACUGAUAAUCAGCCCUCUUUUUUCGACACCAACGUACUUACAAUCAGCCAGCUGUAUCCUGUAGCUCUCGAUCGAUCUGUGCGUGGUUCACCUUUCCUAGUGGUUAAAUAAUAUGACUACAGUACCCAUCGUAGAAAGAAAGGUCUUUUUUAAAAAGGAGGAUGACCCCGGCCUCUGCAUUUGGGAGAUGCAUGCGACCACUUUAUCGAUUAUUCUUGAGGACCUUACAAAGUAUUGCAACAAUAUGCCUGAAUCCGUCGUCUUGGCAAUAUAUGCCACUACUCCUAUCCAUAUGAUGAAGGGGUGCUAGCUGGGCCAAAUACCCAGACCACUCACCUAAGCCUAUCAUCAAAAGCCAGAAGCCCCAGCCGAGCCACGUACCGGGUCUGGGGCAUAAACUGGUCUGACGCACUCACAUGUGUCGUCGCCGCCAUCUUCAGAGUAGAUAUUGAGGCUUCUACCUUGCCAGGUCACUCGGCCAUCGACGCCACCAUAUGACGCCAGACAGCUACCUCCUCCUGCACGAGUCCAUCACCACGCAUCGGGCGCCGAGUCUCCACUGCGCCACGCCGCCAAGAUCCGCCGUCAUCAAUGUGUAGGAUGAAGCACCGCUCCAUCAAAAAAGCCGCCCGCUGGUCCCUCGAUCCCGUGCACGCCCCCAAGGAGGAAACGACACCAACGCGUCGCCGUCAUCUGAUCUACUGAUCUGGAGCUUCUCCACGGCGAUGCCUUCAAGAAGGUAAUAACACAAAAGAGUGCCGCCAACGCCGGUCUUGGCAUCAAGCCGAGAACUAGGUUUUCACCCGGAUCCGCUCGAGGAACCUCCAUCAAGCAUCGUGUGCACGGGUCGCCGCCGAUCUGAGCCGCCGCACAUCGAGCAGGUCGCAUUGGCCAAAUCAGAUCUGUCCGGAGGGCAAACCACACAUGGCGCCGACCAACCACCAGGCCCUCCAUGCCGCCACCGCCGAUCCGAGGUCAGAUGGUCCGUCGCCGCAGACCCGUCGCCGCCGCCGAACGCAGCCCAGUCCGCUGUCCGAAGCAGGGCCAGCCACCGCACCCGCCACCAUUCGCCCUAGGCCGAGGCGGUCGUCGCACCGCCGCCGGUCAAGGCAGGCCCGCCACGCCACCAAGACCAGAUCGGCCGUGCCACCACACGCUGCGGGGCUCCGCACCGCCCCCAUGGCGUAGGAGAGAGGGAAGGCCCCCGCCACCGCCGUCAGCCUCUGGGCUAUAGGCCGGCGGCGUCCUUCGGCGGCGGCAGAGGAAGGGAUGGAAGAACGGGGAGCCCCCGGCGGCUAGGGUUGCGAUCUCGCCUGAGUCGCCCAAGCGGGGGCGACACGGGCGGUGCGGAGAAGCCUCCAGAGAUUACGAUGCACGUACGUGCCCAGUUGAGAGUUUGAAGAUGGGCACCGUUAAACUGUGGUGGCACGUACCGAUCGAAUGAUUUACCGCGAAUUAAUUGGGCGAUACGCAACGUACAGUUUUUGAUUUGGUGAAUGGUGAACGAGCUGCUCCGUCCCCCUCCUCGUGUAAAAGAAGAAAUAGAGGAUGGAACCGGCCGGCCGGACUCCUCUUUUCCUUUCAACCUGGAUGAUGGCUUCUCCUUUUACACUAUCUAUCUAUGCCAUACUAGCAUUGACUCCUCUUUUUCAAUUUUCCACACGAGUGGGUGAUGCGUCUUGUUUUCUUUCUUGAUACGGAAGCAGGCAAUUGGCCGUUUCAUCCACCAGGAGGAGGCGGGUACUCCUGGUAAGGCAUUUCAUCGGUGCCUUCCUUAGAGCAUCUCCAAUGGCUGCCCCAUAACUGCCUCACGUGUUAAAAAUCAGCGUUUUUGUGCGUCGGAGACAAAAAACAGCGUUCCAGCAGUCGUUGUAAAGUAGAGUGUGCUUAAAAAACUUUAGCGCACGGGUGUGCACGCGGGCUGCAGGGCUAUAAAUUUGAGGCGUCGGAUUGUACGCGCGGGCUGCUGCAGAUGAGGCCGCUGUAUUGGGGCUCGUGUUUUUGUGCAUCUCGAAAACCUCUUCGUCAUUCCGCGCGCAAAAAUACUAUUUUGACGAUGCAAAUUUUUUUUAGCACACCGUGAUACUGCGCGUCUGUUGGAGAUGCUCUUACUGACAGCUCAAUCCCCUUGGCAAUAGCAUGCGGUAGGUUCCAGUGCCGGAGUGUGUAUCGAUCGUGCACACGUGGAAUUGAUUUCCUUUCCAGCACGUACAUGCCGGACUGCCGGAGGGUGAAUUGAACCGGACCGGUCGGGCGGUCGGCCUAUGUUCGUGCGCCGCCGAUGGCAACACAGACACAGCCAUGCGCUCCAUGCAUGUACGUAGAGCGCGCGCCCGUGCGUACACCGGCUGACGGCGGUUAGCUGGGGCCAUUUUAUAUGCACGCGUCGCCGGGGCAGUCGAGCGGUCCACCGAGCAGCACGCCGUCGCGUUGCUUCUCAUGUGCUCGCCAUACCACACGUGACACCGACGUAUCAUGGUGUACACCAACCAACCACUGAGCUCACGGUCGCGCGCCGUUGCAUCAAAGGUCCAAAUCCGUAGACCAUUUGGCCGGGCCCGUCACGUUGCCUGCCGGCGUGCCUCACCUCGCCGUGAAACGACUCGCGUGCGUCGACCUCGACGUCACACUGGCCGCUGACGAUAGAGCUACCCAUCAGUCCCGCAUGGACGCGCACCUGGUGGUAGCGUCGCGGCGAUUAGAGGAUCCAAACGUGCCCUGAUUAAUCAGCCGUCCCGGCCGGCGCUGCACGCUAGCCCAGCCCCAGCCCCGCGAUUGAUCGAUCGGCCCGGCCGGAACGACGUAGGUUCGCACGUGAUCUUCCUUCCUUCCACCUCAACGGCUCCUGAUUCCUUCGCUGUCGCACUUGGAUUUGCCAGUCAUGAUCCUAGACUGGUUUGUUAAUCAAGUACACAUUAUGGCUUCCUCCGGCCACCUCACUUACUUCACACCUCUCGCUUCACAAGCUCGUAUUGGUGUUUCUUCUUUGCAUUUCAUCCCUACAAAUGUCGUGGCAGUAUAAAGAACGUCGGAAAUACAAAACGCACCCACGUCCUAUACCACACAUACACGACCGCAAACACUGCAAACGAGCAAAAUGCACGUCGCUGUCAUCGGCCUUCUCUCAUCAAAGCCGGCAAACCUUGUCGUAGACAAUCAAAAAGUCAUCGUGCCAAGCUCCGCAAGACUAGCGCACAAUAUCAACCGUCACAGAUGAAGGGAAGAAUAGAUCAGAAGGAUCCAAUCUGUAAAUACAUGAAAACAGAUUGUAUCCAAGCAGAUCCACCAAAGACCAGUGCCGCUAGAAUCCCACAAUGUCCGCCAGACACACGUCUUCACACGUCCUCCGACGACGCAAGAUGCACCAGCGGGUGAAGGCUAAGCGUGGAGAACCUUAUUCCAUAUUCAAUGAAUCACGACCGUCUCGCCUUCCUAAGUAGGCACAAACACUAAUGAACCUUAAAAACACCUACAAAUGGAGCAGGAUUUGUCACGCGUCCAUAGUCCUAAGGCCACACGAGACGAGGCAAAACGGCAUCACAACCGACGGAAGGCAAGGAAAACCUCGCCUACGCACAAAAUUGUAGUUGUCUUUUGUCGUCACCGCCCGUCUGUUCGUAACAUAGUCUUGUUGGUUUAAAGAUGUUUUCAUAAAAUAUUGUAUGGAAUUUUCGUCCUUAUAGUUCUUUCUUUGCAGAGUUAUAAACGACUUUACUUUUUCUGAGAAGAAAUAAGCAACUCCCCCCUCCCCUACAGAAAGUAAUAACUAAUUAUUCCAAUAAGAUCAUAUGCUAAGGUUAGAAAAAAUGUUCUCAAGGGCGAGGGAGUUUCGGUUGUCUUUAUUGUAAAAAAAACUUCGCAUUCCGAGUGAUCUAAAUCUUCCAAAAUAUAUAUGAGUAUAGCAGAAUGAGAGUAAUGCUAAACCUUUUAUUUUCUUUCUCAAAAAAAAAGAGUAAUGCUAAACCUGUGUGAUUUUUUUAUAUAUGAGACUUACGAGGUGAUGUGGAGGCCCACAUUUGAAAUCAGGGGUCCAUGGUGAAAAUGGGGAGGGAAUGGUUAGUUGGAUAAAGACAUGUACGCCUGCAGAUCCAGUCCGUAAAUUAAACUCUUAUUUGCCUCAAAAAAAUUAAAGAAAAAGUUAAACUCUUAUAAAUUUAUCAUUUGUUCGAUCCAUUGCUAGACCAACAUAUCUAUAAUAGAGGGCCGGGGGCAAGUGCAAUAGAGGAAUGAUGUCAAAGCGUAGAGAAUGCCAAAAAAUUUCAACAUGGAUAGGCGAACACAACUCGACAUAUGCUAAUGGUAGCAAUGAAGGUUGUUGGCCUUAUAGAGUUAAUCGUGCGCUGGAAGAGUAGCCGCCCAAAAUGUUUGACCUUGUUAGGUACCCUAUUACCCAAUAUCAUCUCAUCGUCGUCUUCAUGUGGUGUGUAGGUGCCCUUACUGUAGAAUGAUUGAGCAGUUGACGAGGAACUAAUCGUCAGUUUCAUUGUUGCAUUAAGAAAUCACACAACAAAGAUAUUGACACAAUCAGCUAUGCAAGAGCAAACUGAAGCUAUGUGAUUUCAAAGGUUAAAUUCCAACCCAUUUCACAUGAUUAAUGCAACAACCGCAUUGGCGUUUCUAGGCCUCCUUUGGUUUAUAGGAUAGAAAUAUCAUGAGAAUAGGAAAACUAUUGGAAAUGUUAUGACAUGUAUCUCAAUUCCUACAGGAAAAGAGACGUUAUUUGAUUCAUAGGAAAGAACUUUUUUAUUGGGCCCAGGGUAAUGUUUUUAUUCCUCUGACAUGUGAAAGAUUAGUUUCUAUCGUACAUUGAAACAAGUAACCAUUCCUACAAACCAAAUGGCUUCAAAGUUUUUUUCCUACAAACUUCCUAUCCUUUAGAAUUUCUACAAAAUUCCUAUAAACCAAAGAGGCCCUAGAAUGGCAGAAAAGGUUCAGGAAGGCAUUUGUCAGACUAACCAAAGUGGGGAGUAACUUAGACCAGUAAUAUGUAUAUGUUACUAGUUUAUGUUUACUAUCUCUAUAGUGGAGAAUAGCAUAUGUGUGGUGUCAUACAACAUUUCAUUUAUUAGGUUAUUGACUCAUCUUGUUUUGGUAUGUGUGAUGUUACCCUUAGUAUGAGUAACCAGCUAUGUCACUCUAUUCAUCUCUCUCAUCAUAAAAUCAUUGCCACAUAAACAAAUUUGCUGAGUUGGCCUCUAUGUUACUGCUGAAGUUACUCCCACUAUGGACAGUCUCAAAGGUAAGCGGUGAUGCUAAGAUAUAGCAAAACUUGUGAUGUGUCAUCUUUUGGUAGGACAAAGAAAAUAUGUUGAAGGGUUUGUUGUUUUGCAAAUUAACGAGGGGUAGGUCCGUGGUAAGGCUAGGAUGUUUUGGUUUUGUAGGUGGAAUGAAUUGACCCAAAGUGUGUCUAAGGCAAGAAGUAACUUGAAGAGGAAAUAAGUGUGAGUAUGCAGAUAACAACAUGGAAAUUGAAAUGUCUGGACACCCCCCACUCCCACCCUAAAAAAUCUCCAUAUGAAAAAAACAUGUUCCGUGCGAUGUAAUCGAUAUCUUUGGUCACAUUAGUAUGAAGCCUAAAGACCAAAAUUUCAUGUUUUUCUGCGGAAAUCGACCCGACUCUUGGGAGCAUAUGCUCCUGCGCAUAAAAAAUGUUUUAUGUAAAUGUCAAAAAAGUUUGAAAACAUACAUGUUCUCAUUGUCACACCCGAAUUCUAUGCUUAGCAUUUUGAGCUAUGCAAAAAAAGUCGAACUCCAAAUGUUACACUUAAUUUUGUUUAUUUUUCACCGUCAAAGCACAGCUAUCCCGUUUCGUAAGAAAAUUUUCAAGCACACUUGUUACACUAACACUAACAUCUACAAAAAAACAGAAUUUUAAAAUUUAAUUACUAUUGGUUUUGAAUUUACUGUUCAUCUGGGAGCAUCUGCACCCCAGAGCCAAAACAGCCAUCCUGUUUUUCAGUUCGCUCAUUCAAAACAACUGUCAAAUAUUUGUGGCACUGCAGUGAGCCGGUGAUUUAAAAAUCCUAUUACCCGCAACAAACACAUUGAUGAUAAUGUUAACCGUGCUCUGGAAGAAAAGCCAAGCAAAAUGUUUGAUCUCGUUAGGUACCCUAUUGCCCAAUAUCAUCCCAUCAUCACUUUCUUCAUGGAGUGUGCAAGUGUCCUUAGUGGAGGAUGAUCGAGCCGUUGAUGGGGAACCAGUUGUCACUCUCAUUGUUGAACUUGGAAAUCACACAACAAAGAUAUCGACACAAUCAACUAUGUGCAAGCAAUUGAUGUUAUUAGACACAUGAUCAAGACAAUAAUUUCACUGAUGUUUAUAGAGUGGGAGAAAAGGUCCAGGAACGCAUUUGUCAAGGGUAAGUGAUGAUGUCAAAGAUCUAGCAAAACAAGGUGAAAUGUCAUUAUUUGGCAGGACAAAGAAAAUAUGUUGAAGGGGUUUGCUGUUUUGCAAAUAAAUAAGGGGUAGGUGUGUGGUAAGGCUAGAAAGUUUUGGCGUUAUAGGUGGAGUGAAUUAAUCCAAAGUGUGCCUAAGGCAAGAAGUAUCUUGAAGAAAAUUUAUAGGAGUAAACAGCUUUCAACAAGCACAUUCUAAAUGCCUACCCCCCACUCUCACCCCCAAAAAAAUCUCCAUCUGAAAGACAUGUUUCAUGCAAGUACGCAUUUCGCCAGUGCAAGAUUCGCUUGCAAGAUAGAAAAAUCAUGAGAGUAGGAAAACCAUAGAAAAUGUAAUGACGUGUAUCUCAAUUCCUAUAGGGAAAGAUACAUCAUUUGAUUCAUAGGAAAAAACUUUUUCACUGGGUCUCAGGUAAUGUUUUUUAUUCCUUUGACAUGUCAAAGAUUGGUUUAUAUCGUACAUUGACAGAAGUAUCCAUUCCUACAUACCAAAGGGCUUCAAAGGAUUUUUCCUACAAACUUCCUAUCCUUUAGAAUUUUUAGAAAAUUCCUACAAACGAAAGGAGGCCCUAGAGUGGUAGAAAAGGUUCAGGAAGGCAUUUGUCAAAGGUAAGCGGUGAUGCUAAGAUCUAGCAAAACAUGUGUUGUGUCAUUUUUUGGUAGGAGAAAGAAAGUAUGUUGAAGGGUUUGUUGUUUUGCAAAUUAAUGAGGGGUAGGUGUGUGGUAAGGCUAGGACGUUUUGGUUUUGUAGGUGGAAUGAAUGACCCAAAGUGUGUCUAAGGCAAGAAGUAACUUGAAGAGAAAAUAAGUAUGAGUAUGCAAAUAACAACAUGGAAAUUUACAUUGGUAUCUUUGGUCACAUUAGUAUGAAUCCUAAAGACCAAAUUUUCAUGUUUUCUGCACAAACCCAACCCGACUAUUGGGAGCAUAUGCUCCUGCGCAUCAAUUUUUUUUAUGUAAGUGUCAAAAACGUUUGAGAAAAUAGAUGUUCUCAUUGUCAACACCCAAAUUCUACGCUUAAGCAUUUUGACCUAUGCAAAUAAAGUCGAACGCCAAAUGUUACCUCCAAUGUUACACUUAAUUUUGUUUCUUUUUCACCGACGAAGCACAUCUAUCCCGUUUCGCAUGAAAGUUUUCAAGCACACUUGUUACACUAACAACAACAUCUUUUUUUUUUAGAAUUUUCAAAAUUCAAUUACCAUUUGUCUUGAAUUUACUGUUCAUCUGGGAGCAUUUGCACCCCAGAGCCAAAACGGCCAUCCCGUUUUUUAGUUCACUCAUUCGAAACAAUUGUCAAAUAUUUGUGGCACUAUAGUGAAUUCAAAAUCCUAUUACCCGCAACAAACACAUUGAUGAUAGUGUUAACCAUGCUCUGGAAGAGUAGCCAAGCAAAAUGUUUGAUCUCGUUAGGUACCCUAUUGCUCAAUAUCAUCCCAUCAUCGUUUUCUUCAUGGAGUGUGUAAGUGUCUUUAGUGGAGGAUGAUCAAGCCGUUGAUGAGGAACAAGUUGUCAAUGUCAUUGUUGAACUUGGAAAUCGCACAACAAAGAUAUCGACACAAUCAACUAUGUACAAGCAGUUGAGAUUAGUCGACACAUGAUUAAGACAUAAACUACAUUGACGUUUCUAGAGUGGGAGAAAAGGUCCAGGAAGGGAUUUGUCAAGGGUAAGUGGUGAUGUAAAAGAUCUAGCAAAACAAGGUGAUAUGUCAUUAUUUGGCAGGACAAAGAAAAUAUGUUGAAGGGGUUUGCUGUUUUGCAAAUAAAUAAGGGGUAGGUGUGUGUAAGGCUAGAAAGUUUUGACGUUAUAGGUGGAAUGAAUUAAUCCAAAGUGUGCCUAAGGCAAGAAGUAUCUUGAAGAAAAUUUAUAGGAGUAAAGAACUUUCAACCAACACAUUUUAAAUGCCCACCCCUCACUCUCACCCAAAAAAAUUCUCCAUCUGAAAGACAUGUUCCACACAAUUACGCAUUUCACUCGUGCAGGCAUUUGUAGCAUAGAAAAAAGGCUGUCUAAUUGCAUCAAUAUCUUUGGUCACAUUCGUAGGAAGCCUAAAGGCCAAAAUUUCAUGUUUUUUUGUUCAUUCAUUCCAAAAAACCGUUGGAUAUAUUUUAUGGCAUCACGGUAAGCGAGUGAGUGCAAAACCCUAUGACCCGCAACGAACACAGUUAUGAUAAUUUUCACGAGGAAUACAAAAUCCAGUCACGGAGCCUCGUAUCAGUACACCUCGCUCGUACUGACAUAGUACACACAUGAAAAGCAUAUGCAUUUCUUUACUUUGAUAGAAACAAUUGAAACCAAAACACAUGCAUGCUUUUGUACUUGAUUGAAAACUCAUGGGCAUUUUGCCGCAAAAAGAAAAGAAAACACAUGCGCAUUCUGCUAUGAUGGCUAUGGAGGUCAAUGGUCGAUUCCCCCCUCAAAAACAAAAAGAUUCCCCGGGGCAUCUAAACUGUCGUCCUUAAUCCACAAUCAUGAUAUCCAUUUAAGGCGUUAAUCGCCGCACAUGCCGCGGGGCCCCACCACCCGACGGCCGCGUAAUCGACUCCCCUCUGUCCCUACUUCGCCUACCCAAAUUCUAUGCUUAAGCAUUUUGACCUAUGCAAAAAAAAAAUCGAACCUCAAAUGUUACCUCCAAUGUUAAACUUAAUUUUGUUUCUUUUUCACCAACGAAGCACAACUAUCCCGUUUUGCAUGAAAAUUUUCAAGUGUGCUUGUUAUACUAACAAUAACAUCUAAAAAAAACAGAAUUUUUGAAUCUAAGUAUUUGUUUUGAAUGUACUGUUCAUCUGGGAGCAUUUGCACCCCAGAGCCAAAACGGCCACCCUGUUUUUCAGUUCGCUCAUUCAAAACAACUGUCAUAUAUUUGUGGCGCUGCAGUGAGCCGGUGAGUUCAAAAUCCUAUUACCCGCGACAAACACAUUGAUGAUAAUGUUAACCGUUCUCUGGAAGAGAAGCCAAGCAAAAUGUUUGAUCUUGUUAGGUACCCUAUUGCCCAAUAUCAUCCCAUCGUCGUUUUCUUCAUGGGAGUGUGUAAGUGUCCUUAGUGGAGGAUGAUCUCGAGCCGUUGAUGAGGAACCAGAUGUCAUUGUCAUUAUUGAACUUGGAAAUCACACAACAAAGAUAUCGACACAAUCAACUAUGUACAAGCAGUUGAGGUUAAUUGACACAUGAUUAAGACAAGAAUUACAUUGACGUUUCUAGAGUGGGAGAAAAGGUCCAGGAAGGCAUUUGGCAAGGGUAAGUGGUGAUGUCAAUGAUCUAGCAAAAGAAGGUGAUAUGUCAUUAUUUGGCAGGACAAAGAAAAUAUGUUGAAGGGGUUUGCUGUUUGCAAAUAAAUAAGGGGUAGGUGUGUGGUAACACUAGAAAGUUUUGGCGUUAUAGGUGGAAUGAAUUAAUCCAAAGUGUGCCUAAGGCAAGAAGUAUAUUGAAGAAAAUUUAUAGGAGUAAACAA
rnacentral:lncRNA from 1 species